AUUGAACGCUGGCGGAAUGCUUUACACAUACAAGUCGAACGGCAGCAUAGGUGCUUGCACCUGAUGGCGAGUGGCGAACGGGUGAGUAAUACAUCGGAACGUGCCCAGUCGUGGGGGAUAACGUAGCGAAAGUUACGCUAAUACCGCAUACGAUCUAAGGAUGAAAGCGGGGGACCGUAAGGCCUCGCGCGAUUGGAGCGGCCGAUGUCAGAUUAGGUAGUUGGUGAGGUAAAGGCUCACCAAGCCGACGAUCUGUAGCUGGUCUGAGAGGACGACCAGCCACACUGGGACUGAGACACGGCCCAGACUCCUACGGGAGGCAGCAGUGGGGAAUUUUGGACAGUGGACGCAAGUCUGAUCCAGCCAUUCCGCGUGCAGGACGAAGGCCUUCGGGUUGUAAACUGCUUUUGUACGGAACGAAAAAGCUCUUACUAAUACUAGGAGUCCAUGACGGUACCGUAAGAAUAAGCACCGGCUAACUACGUGCCAGCCGCCGCUGUAA
rnacentral:rRNA from 1 species